rnacentral:rRNA from 1 species
GAUGAACGCUGGCGGCGUGCUUAACACAUGCAAGUCGAGCGAAGCGGUUUAAAUGAGACUUCGGUGGAUUUUAAACUGACUGAGCGGGCGAGGGUGAGGUACGCGUAGUAGUACUGCUCACACAGGGGAUAACAGUUAGAAAUGACUGCUAAUACCGCAUAAGCGCACGGCAUCGCAUGAUGCAGUGUGAAAAACUCCGGUGGUGUGAGAUGGAUCCGCGUCUGAUUAGGUAGUUGGUGGGGUAACGGCCCACCAAGCCGACGAUCGGUAGCCGACCUGAGAGGGUGACCGGCCACAUUGGGACUGAGACACGGCCCAA